UGUUUACGUCGUGGGUGGUCGUGUUGGUCGCGCGAAGAGAAGUGAAUGACAUGUUCGUGGUUGUUGUGUCAAUUAUUCGAGAGACGUACAUAUGCCUGGUGUAGUUUUGGUGUUGGGGGAUGCAAAAAUCGUGUUCGUUCACCAUCGGCGGCGGGCGUUUUCUACCACAAGAUUCAACAGGAGAGUGCGCCAAAGCGAAUGUGGUUCGAAACACUCGGUUAGCAGAUGUAGCAGUCGUGUCGUGUGUGCUGUUCUCAUUUUGCUGCCGAUGACUACGAAGAUGCCGUAGAAGGCGAAUUGCGAAGACGUCCGAAGCACACACUGAUGCUCAGUACCCAUUGAUUUCGCUUCACCGAGGUGACGGGUUCAACACAACGUCUUAGGGGCCUUCCAGUGUUGAAGUGGCGCAAGACUGCUUCGUGUGUGUGUGAUCCAGGCACUCAAGUUGACAUGACAGAAAUAGCUGAAAGCAGCAUGCCUGAAGAAAUGUUCUGAUCUUCAUCAAGAUGACAGGUCAUUGUUCGAUCUGCAGCAUUAUUGUUCCUGUAAUCUUUUCACCAACGGAGAAUACAAAAGUGAACAAAUGGUAAAAUAUAACUAGCUCGUUAAAUUCAAAAGGGAAAGACAAAGCUGUUUAUACUUCUCUUGUUUAUUUUGUUGCAGGUUUUACA